GGUACAACGAGUCGCAAGCUCGCGAGAGUAAGCUAAUCUCUUAAAGCCGUUCUCAGUUCGGACUGUAGGCUGCAACUCGCCUACACGAAGUCGGAAUCGCUAGUAAUCGCGGAUCAGCAUGCCGCGGUGAAUACGUUCCCGGGCCUUGUACACACCGCCCGUCACACCAUGGGAGUUUGUAACGCCCAAAGUCGGUGGCCUAACCUUUAUGGAGGGAGCCGCCUAAGGCGGGACAGAUGACUGGGGUGAAGUCGUAACAAGGUACC
rnacentral:rRNA from 1 species